rnacentral:rRNA from 1 species
CAAGCCUGAUCCAGCAAUGCCGCGUGUGUGAAGAAGGCCUUCGGGUUGUAAAGCACUUUUAUCAGGAGCGAAAUCUGCAUGCUUAAUACGUGUGCAGUCUGACGGUACCUGAGGAAUAAGCACCGGCUAACUUCGUGCCAGCAGCCGCGGUAAUACA